rnacentral:rRNA from 1 species
UACGAAGGGGGCUAGCGUUGCUCGGAAUCACUGGGCGUAAAGGGUGCGUAGGCGGACAUUUAAGUCAGGGGUGAAAUCCCAGAGCUCAACUCUGGAACUGCCUUUGAUACUGGGUGUCUUGAGUAUGGAAGAGGUGAGUGGAAUUCCGAGUGUAGAGGUGAAAUUCGUAGAUAUUCGGAGGAACACCAGUGGCGAAGGCGGCUCACUGGUCCAUUACUGAUGCUGAGGUGCGAAAGCGUGGGGAGCAAACAGG